rnacentral:rRNA from 1 species
UGGGGAAUUUUGCGCAAUGGGGGAAACCCUGACGCAGCAACGCCGCGUGAGUGAUGAAGGCCUUCGGGUCGUAAAGCUCUGUCAGAGGGGAAGAAGUGUGAGGUGGCUAAUAUCCAUUUCACUUGACGGUACCUUCAAAGGAAGCACCGGCUAACUCCGUGCCAGCAGCCGCGGUAAUACGGAGGGUGCGAGCGUUGUUCGGAAUUAUUGGGCGUAAAGCGCGUGUAGGCGGUUUUUUAAGUCUGAUGUGAAAGCCCUGGGCUCAACCCGGGAAGUGCAUUGGAAACUGGGAGACUUGAAUACGGGAGAGGGCAGUGGAAUUCCCAGUGUAGAGGUGAAAUUCGUAGAUAUUGGGAGGAACAUCGGUGGCGAAGGCGGCUUUCUGGACCGACACUGACGCUG